GACGAACGCUGGCGGCGUGCUUAACACAUGCAAGUCGAACGGUGAAGCCCAGCUUGCUGGGUGGAUCAGUGGCGAACGGGUGAGUAACACGUGAGUAACCUGCCUCUGACUCUGGGAUAAGCCUUGGAAACGGGGUCUAAUACUGGAUACGAGACGCUCGGGCAUCCGGAGUGUCUGGAAAGAUUUAUCGGUCAGAGAUGGACUCGCGGCCUAUCAGCUUGUUGGUGGGGUAAUGGCCUACCAAGGCGACGACGGGUAGCCGGCCUGAGAGGGCGGCCGGCCACACUGGGACUGAGACACGGCCCAGACGCCUACGGGAGGCAGCAGUGGGGAAUAUUGCACAAUGGGCGCAAGCCUGAUGCAGCGACGCCGCGUGAGGGAUGACGGGCUUCGGGUUGUAAACCUCUUUCAGCAGGGAAGAAGCGAAAGUGACGGUACCUGCAGAAGAAGCGCCGGCUAACUACGUGCCAGCAGCCGCCGCGG
rnacentral:rRNA from 1 species